GAAAUCUCAUGUAGAAGCCCAGAACUUUCAAGAGAUAAGAAGUAGAGAGAUUCUGGUUUAAAGAGAGAUGACAGAAGCCCUGAAUGUCCUCUCUUCUGCUCCCCCAGAUACCUUCAUGGACUACAGGGCUGUACAUACGGUUAGACUCCUUGACCUCAAUACUGUUGAAGUUUAUAACUAAAAAUAAACCAAUAGGAAAGCUAGCCAUGCCAUAGUGGCUACAUGCAUGGGAUGUGAAGCCACACUUCCUGAGUUUGAAUCCCAGCUCUGCCUCAUCUUAAAAGUGUGAUCAUAGAGAGGUAACUUAACUUGUGGCUCAAUUGCCUUAUUUGUAAAAUGGUAAUAAUGAUAGUACCAACCUUAUAGGUUUGUUGUGUGAAUUAAACGAGUUAACACUCAUAAAAAGGUGAAAAAAGGCUUGGCAUAAACACUCAAUAAGUUGAGUAUUUAUUGGUAAACAAUAAAUUUUUACCUUAAAAAAGAGCUAUUUGGUUGUUUAAUUAGCAGAGGACAGAAGGGAGGAAGCGAGCAAAAUGGGAAAAGAUUAAUGCCAGAUGAUAAAGGGCCUUGACUACCAAGCUAAGAAAUGGAGAUUAAUUUCUUUAGUAGGAAAUGAGGAGCCUUUCAUUCAUUCAACACAUAUUUAUUGAGUGCUUUCAGUGUGCCAACAUCAUUCUAAAUGAUUGGGAUACAUGAGUGGGAGUGAGUGAAGUGGACAAUGGCAGCAUUUUAGAAAAGGAUUAAGGUUUCUUUUUCUCCCCAGGGUCAUGGGAUACAUGAACUUCAGGC
rnacentral:lncRNA from 10 species